rnacentral:rRNA from 1 species
CACGUAGGGUGCAAGCGUUGUCCGGAAUCAUUGGGCGUAAAGAGCUCGUAGGCGGCUUAGUAAGUCGGGUGUGAAACCUCCAGGCUCAACCUGGAGACGCCACCCGAUACUGCUAUAGCUAGAGUCCAGUAGGGGAGUGCGGAAUUCCCGGUGUAGCGGUGAAAUGCGCAGAUAUCGGGAGGAACACCAGCGGCGAAGGCGGCACUCUGGGCUGGUACUGACGCUGAGACGCGAAAGUGUGGGGAGCGAACAGG